GACGAACGCUUGCGGCGUGCUUAACACAUGCAAGUCGAACGGAAAGGCCCUGCUUUUGUGGGGUGCUCGAGUGGCGAACGGGUGAGUAACACGUGAGUAACCUGCCCUUGACUUUGGGAUAACUUCAGGAAACUGGGGCUAAUACCGGAUAGGAGCUCCUGCUGCAUGGUGGGGGUUGGAAAGUUUCGGCGGUUGGGGAUGGACUCGCGGCUUAUCAGCUUGUUGGUGGGGUAGUGGCUUACCAAGGCUUUGACGGGUAGCCGGCCUGAGAGGGUGACCGGCCACAUUGGGACUGAGAUACGGCCCAGACUCCUACGGGAGGCAGCAGUGGGGAAUAUUGCACAAUGGGCGGAAGCCUGAUGCAGCAACGCCGCGUGCGGGAUGACGGCCUUCGGGUUGUAAACCGCUUUCGCCUGUGACGAAGCGUGAGUGACGGUAAUGGGUAAAGAAGCACCGGCUAACUACGUGCCAGCAGCCGCGGUGAUACGUAGGGUGCGAGCGUUGUCCGGAUUUAUUGGGCGUAAAGGGCUCGUAGGUGGUUGAUCGCGUCGGAAGUGUAAUCUUGGGGCUUAACCCUGAGCGUGCUUUCGAUGCGGGUUGACUUGAGGAAGGUAGGGGAGAAUGGAAUUCCUGGUGGAGCGGUGGAAUGCGCAGAUAUCAGGAGGAACACCAGUGGCGAAGGCGGUUCUCUGGGCCUUUCCUGACGCUGAGGAGCGAAAGCGUGGGGAGCGAACAGGCUUAGAUACCCUGGUAGUCCACGCUGUAAACGGUGGGUACUAGGUGUGGGGUCCAUUCCACGGGUUCCGUGCCGUAGCUAACGCUUUAAGUACCCCGCCUGGGGAGUACGGCCGCAAGGCUAAAACUCAAAGGAAUUGACGGGGCCCCGCACAAGCGGCGGAGCAUGCGGAUUAAUUCGAUGCAACGCGUAGAACCUUACCUGGGUUUGACAUGGAUCGGGAGUGCUCAGAGAUGGGUGUGCCUCUUUUGGGGUCGGUUCACAGGUGGUGCAUGCCUGUCGUCAGCUCGUGUCGUGAGAUGUUGGGUUAAGUCCCGCAACGAGCGCAACCCUUGUUCACUGUUGCCAGCACGUUAUGGUGGGGACUCAGUGGAGACCGCCGGGGUCAACUCGGAGGAAGGUGGGGAUGACGUCAAGUCAUCAUGCCCCUUAUGUCCAGGGCUUCACGCAUGCUACAAUGGCUGGUACAGAGAGUGGCGAGCCUGUGAGGGUGAGCGAAUCUCGGAAAGCCGGUCUCAGUUCGGAUUGGGGUCUGCAACUCGACCUCAUGAAGUCGGAGUCGCUAGUAAUCGCAGAUCAGCAACGCUGCGGUGAAUACGUUCCCGGGGCU
rnacentral:rRNA from 1 species